rnacentral:rRNA from 1 species
CAGGUUGUUCCGCAAAGGUACUGCUCCACCCUAAGUCCAUAAAUGAGUACGGUGGUACGGACAUGGCCCACAGAGGGUGAAAGGCCCGUGGGGGUGGAGACCAGGUAGGCCAGUAUCUUUCUGGAUAGACCUUGGAGUCGGGUUGUUUGUGAAUGCAGCCCAAAGUGGGUGGUAAACUCCAUCCAAGGCUAAAUACAAGCACGAGUCCGAUAGCGAACAAGUACCGUGAGGGAAAGUUGAAAAGUACUUUGAAGAGAGAGUAAACAGUGCGUGAAACCGGUCAGAGGUAAACGGGUGGAGUUGAACUGCAAGCUCUGGGAAUUCAGCUGGUGAGUGUGGCUGGAGCUUGGCUAAUAUGUUGAGCCCUGGAGUCUGCGUAGCAGCAGGCCUUUGCCCCUUGUGGGUGAGGGUGCGCGAUGCACUUACCAAGUGUUGUGCGCUCUGGGUGUUCAUCGAGCUGACUCGCCAGUGCACUUUCUCAGAGUGGUCAUCACGACCGGCACCGCUGUCUGGCUGGUGUGGUUAAACCGAUCUCGUAUUGUCCUUGUGGCUCUGCUUGGUCGGGAUGGCAGGUAGCUCGGUGAUUUGCCUGUGAUCUUCGGUCGCGGGCGCUGGUCAUUGAGUGUAACUGGCUGACCACAUUGGUUCUGUGCAGUGUGUCGGAGACGGCGGCUUUUGUGUGUGCGCGCGUGCCUGUCUGGCCGGCGUGUCCGGGUUUGGUCGUUUGUGCCUGUUCACGCAGGCCUGGCGAUGGCUCGGGUUCGUUCGGUUGGCGGUUGCGUGCGUGGC